rnacentral:rRNA from 1 species
GAUGAACGCUGGCGGCGUGCCUAAUACAUGCAAGUCGAGCGAACGGACGAGAAGCUUUCUUCUCUGAUGUUAGCGGCGGACGGGUGAGUAACACGUGGAUAACCUACCUAUAAGACUGGGAUAACUUCGGGAAACCGUAGCUAAUACCGGAUAAUAUUUUGAACCGCAUGGUUCAAAAGUGAACGACGGUCUUGCUGUCACUUAUAGAUGGAUCCGCGCUGCAUUAGCUAGUUGGUACGGUAACGGCUUACCAAGGCAACGAUGCAUAGCCGACCUGAGAGGGUGAUCAGCCACACUGGAACUGAGACACGGUCCAGACUCCUACGGGAGGCAGCAGUAGGGAAUCUUCGGCAAUGGGCGAAAGCCUGACGGAGCAACGCCGCGUGAGUGAAGAAGGUCUUCGGAUCGUAAAACUCUGUUAUUAGGGAAGAACAGAUGUGUAAGUAACUGUGCACAUCUUGACGGUACCUAAUCAGAAAGCCACGGCUAACUACGUG